GCCUUAGCUGAUGGUACCCCCUGGCAUUUGUUUGCAUAUGUUAGACACCUAUCUUGCUCCUCGCCCUCUAUAACGACUCCAUGAAGCUUUGCAUCCUCAUGAUUACGAUCUGGCAUGUCCUGCUGGGGGUAGAUUUAUGCAUAUAGAAGAGAGGUACUCAUAAGAUGGUGGAGGAGGCAAGCUACAUAUAGAAAAGAGAUUGGUGGAGCUAGUGAAGUUUAAGUUGGUGAGAAAAAAGAUAGGGUCACAAAUGCUCGAAAUGCUGGAAGAGCUGUUGUUAAGGAGGGUAUUGUCCUAGGCUGAUGACCAAAGCUGCAAAUGAUGGUGUUGAUGGUCGGUUCCUCUCUGAGUUUGAUCAGUUUUGAGACACGCGAUGGUCUUUGUUAUCAAAUAGCUUGUCUUCUCGAACAGUGGGAUUCGAGGUCAUCAAUGUGUGUGACGAGUUCAUCAUGCCGCAACAGUGGUGGUGAUGAUGCUCGGCCUCGUCUACAACUUCUCCACCUUGGAGCAUAGGAGGCUGCUUUCUGAUGCAUGACUAGAGGGUGGCCUCGUUCUUUGACUACAUGGCUUUUUUUACUGAUCGUGAUGCAUCAAUGUAAACUUCAAGUCCUUCUCAAAGGUGCUACAGUCAUCUCUUAUGUUAGUGGACGAGACUGGCAAGAGAUUGUAGGCGAAUAUGGUUUGAUUUGUGCCACUGCAAAACCCCAUUUGAGGUCUAGUGUUGAUGUGAUGUACCCAUCAGUUUUGCAGCUACUAUCUUGGACGAGUACUCGACUUACGUUUACCGACCCAAUGUAUAUGAAUUGGUUAUUUCAACCCUGGAAGACCAAGUGAAGUGAUAGCAGAACUUUCCAUGGGGUUGUUAGGAUUAAAAUGUGCAAAUUUGGGUUCUUUCUCCUAUGUAUAAUUCAAUACUCAUACUUUGGCAUGUGGAAAGGUUGAGGAGAUCCCAAAGAAUUUCCCUUUCAAACACACCGACAAGAAGUGGCACAAUUCUGGUUUCCAUGCUGAGCCUAAUCACUGGAUGUUAGGCGGAAGGACAAGGACGACAAAGAGAAAGACGAUGACCAGGAAGAUGGCGGGAAUGCCCCACAAAGUCCAGCAUUCUCCUCAGAGUCACAGUCUCCAAGAAUGACGUCCCAAGCCUCGAGUUCACCUGCAUCGCCUACCCGACGAGAUCAUGAUCGACACCUUGCCCGUUAGGCAGCCGGUUAGGAACGACUUGGAGGAGAUGAUUGCAUACGAGGGUUCUGAUUUCAAUUAAGUUCACAAAUCCAUGGCUUGGCCGUUUUAAUUUUCACAGCUAGCAGCUGAUGCUGCAACCAAACUCUUUGAUUGUUCACUGAUUUCUGAUGUUGUAAAAAGAACGCAUUCUGAUUGGUUAACAACUGCUUUGUUGAUGAUGUACUCCACUUGGUCUUUGUCUUAUGUAGCGACCUCGUCGAGAACCUGCAGAGGGCAUUCCACAAGUGCGUGGAGCUGCGGUCUGCUAUGGGUGUUCUUACUAUUGGUACGGACUUGGAGUGUAUGUCGCGGGCUUGGUCAUUGUGCUGGAAUUGGGGACCUUUUUCCUGGGCGGAUGUUUCCAUCGAUUCUUCUCACGCAUGGUGAUGCAGUCCUCUCUUAUGUUAGUGGACGAGACUAGCAAGAGAUUGUAGGCGAAGAUGGGUUGAUUUUUGUGCCACUGCAAAACCUCAUUUGAGGUAUGGUGUUGUCGUGAUGUACCCAUUAGUUGUGCAGCUACCAACUUGGACGAGUACUCGAUUUAUGUUUACCGAACAAUGUAUAUGAAGUGGUUAUUUCAGCCCUGGAAGACCAAGUGAAGUGACAGAAGAACUUGCCAUGGAGGUUUGAGGAUUAAAAUGUGCAAAUUUGGGUUGUUCCUCCUUUGUAUAAGUCAGUACUCCAAUAUUUUGGCAUGUGGAAAGGUGUUGAAGCAACAUUCUUUUUGUUUGUUUGUCAAGAUGAAUAAUGUGUUCCUCUUCAGCUUUAGUGAUUUGUAAUAUUAGAUGGUUUCUUAUUCUGCUGCUUAGGAAUUGCAACUAUGUUUUGCUAGAGCAAUUAUGUGCGCAAGGCUAUUGUGUUAUGAUUAGUGAAGUUGUUAUCAUAUCAACUAUCAUAUCUUGUUCGAGA